rnacentral:rRNA from 1 species
AGAGUUUGAUCAUGGCUCAGGGUUAACGCUGGCGGCGUGCCUAACACAUGCAAGUCGAACGGUUCUAAGCGCGAGCUUAGGAUAGUGGCGAACGGGUGAGUAAAAGGUAGGAAUCUACCCCUUGGACGGAGAUAGCUACUGGAAACGGUAGGUAAACUUCGAUAAGCCCGAGAGGGGAAAGUGGUGAGACAGCCGAGGGAUGAGCCUACUCUCCAUCAGGUAGUUGGUGAGAUAAAAGCUUACCAAGCCGAUGACGGGUAACCGGUGUGAGAGCAUGAACGGUCACAAGGGCACCGAGAGACGGGCCCUACUCCUACGGGAGGCAGCAGUGGGGAAUCUUGGACAAUGGGCGAAAGCCUGAUCCAGCGACGCCGCGUGGAGGAAGAAGUCCUUCGGGAUGUAAACUUCUGAACUAGCCGAAUAAAAGGCCUGUGGAUACACAGGAGAAGAAAGUAGGCUAGGAAAAGUCCCGGCUAACUACGUGCCAGCAGCCGCGGUAAGACGUAGGGGGCAAGCGUUACCCGGAAUUACUGGGCGUAAAGGGGGCGUAGGCGGUAAAAGAAGUCAUCUGUGAAAACCUAUUGCUCAACGAUAGGCUAGCGGAUGAAACUGAAUUACUUGAGGGCACCAGAGGUAGACGGAAUUACCCGAGUAGGGGUGAAAUCCGCAGAUACGGGUAGGAACGCCGGUGGAGAAGUCGGUCUACUGGGGGUGCACCAGACGCUGAGGCCCGAAAGCUAGGGGAGCAAACCGGAUUAGAUACCCGGGUAGUCCUAGCCGUAAACGAUGCUCACUAGGUGUAGGGAGUGAUAAACUCUCUGUGCUGAAGCGAACGCGCUAAGUGAGCCGCCUGGGGAGUACGUCCGCAAGGAUGAAACUCAAGGAAUUGACGGGGGUCCGCACAAGCGGUGGAGCAUGUGUUUAAUUCGAUGGUAACCGAAGAACCUUACCAGGAUUGACAUGUA